CUCCCCCACUCCCCGUGGCGCGAGCGGCUGAUACCGGAGGGGAAACGGCAUUCGGCGCCGCACUCCCGCCCAGGCUGGUCCUGACGCGGGCCUCUUCAGCCGGUAACGGGGAGCAAAGGUGGGGAUCAGGGAGGCGACCACGAAAACGGUGAAGGUCAGAGCCCAGAGGCCUUUUCCGAGAACGGCAGGAGCUGGGAGGAGGCGCCGGCAGCAGGAGCAGCAGCGGCGGCAGCAGCUGGGAGGAGGUGGUGACGGUGGCAACGGCAGCGUCGGGGACGAUGGCGCGACUGGUGGCCGUGUGCAGGGACGGGGAAGAGGAGUUCCCCUUCGAGAGGAGGCAGAUUCCCCUCUACAUAGACGACACCCUCACGAUGGUGAUGGAAUUUCCUGACAAUGUGUUAAAUCUUGAUGGCCAUCAAAAUAAUGGUGCACAACUAAAGCAGUUUAUUCAGCGACAUAGUAUGCUUAAACAACAAGAUCUAAGUAUUGCCAUGGUGGUGACGUCACGUGAAGUGUUGAGUGCACUCUCUCAGCUUGUCCCGUGUGUUGGUUGUCGUCGCAGUGUGGAGCGCCUCUUUUCCCAGCUUGUAGAGUCUGGAAAUCCUGCCCUUGAACCCCUGACAAUAGGGCCCAAGGGAGUUUUAUCUGUAACUCGAAGUUGUAUGACUGAUGCAAAGAAACUUUAUACAUUAUUUUAUGUACAUGGGUCCAAACUAAAUGACAUGAUAGAUGCUAUUCCAAAAAGUAAAAAGAACAAGAGAUGUCAGUUGCACUCCUUAGAUACGCACAAACCAAAACCUUUGGGUGAAGGGAGCAGUAGCAGUGUCAGUUCAGAGAAGUUAAGUACAGAUAAGAGAAGUAGUGAAGACCACAGGAAGGACAGCAAGUGUAGGAUCAUUUUGCAUUAUGGACCUUUCCAGGGAACAGCCAGAGGUUGUUGGAUGGACGUAUGGGAACUAAUGUCCCAAGAAUGCAGAGAUGAAGUAGUUUUAAUUGACUCUAGUUGUCUUUUAGAAACACUAGAAACAUAUCUGCGAAAACACAGGUUUUGCACUGAUUGCAAAAAUAAAGUCCUCCGAGCAUACAAUAUCCUUAUUGGUGAACUUGAUUGCAGCAAAGAGAAGGGCUAUUGUGCUGCACUUUAUGAAGGUUUGCGGUGCUGUCCACAUGAACGACACAUACAUGUUUGCUGUGAAACGGACUUCAUUGCACAUCUUUUGGGUCGUGCUGAGCCAGAGUUCGCAGGAGGGUAUGAGCGAAGAGAAAGGCAUGCUAAGACAAUAGAUAUAGCUCAAGAAGAAGUUCUGACCUGCUUGGGAAUUCAUCUUUAUGAAAGACUGCAUCGGAUAUGGCAAAAACUACGAGCAGAAGAGCAGACGUGGCAGAUGCUUUUUUAUCUUGGUGUUGAUGCUUUACGUAAGAGUUUUGAGAUGACCGUGGAAAAAGUACAAGGGAUUAGCCGAUUGGAACAACUUUGUGAAGAAUUUUCAGAGGAGGAACGAGUAAGAGAACUCAAGCAAGAAAAGAAACGCCAAAAACGGAAAAAUAGACGAAAAAAUAAAUGUGUAUGUGACAUUCCUACUCCCCUCCAAACAGCAGAGGAAAAGGAAGUAAGCCAAGAGAAGGAAACAGACUUCAUAGAAAACAGCUGUAAAGCCUGUGGCAGCACUGAAGAUGGUAAUAGUUGUGUAGAAGUAAUUGUUACCAAUGAAAAUACAUCAUGUACCUGUCCUAGCAGUGGCAAUCUUUUGGGGUCCCCUAAAAUAAAGAAAGGCUUAUCUCCACACUGUAAUGGUAGUGAUUGUGGAUAUUCAUCUAGCAUGGAAGGGAGUGAAACAGGUUCCCGGGAGGGUUCAGAUGUUGCCUGCACUGAAGGCAUUUGUAAUCAUGACGAACACGGUGAUGACUCCUGUGUUCAUCACUGUGAAGACAAAGAGGAUGAUGGUGAUAGUUGUGUUGAAUGUUGGGCAAAUUCCGAAGAGAACAACACCAAAGGAAAAAAUAAAAAGAAGAAAAAGAAAAGCAAGAUGUUGAAAUGUGAUGAACAUAUCCAAAAGCUUGGAAGCUGUAUUACAGAUCCAGGAAAUCGAGAGACCUCAGGAAAUACCGUGCACACAGUGUUCCACCGUGACAAGACCAAAGAUGCACAUCCUGAAAGCUGUUGUAGCUCUGAAAAGGGUGGGCAGCCACUGCCUUGGUUUGAGCAUAGAAAAAAUGUACCACAGUUUGCAGAACCUACAGAAAUGUCAUUUGGUCCUGAUUCCGGAAAAGGUGCCAAGAGCUUAGUUGAACUCCUUGUAAGUAAACCAUGAUGUCUUAUUGUGGAUAACUGAUUGCCCAUGGCUAGAUGUGGGAGUGGACAGAAUUUUUGAGGGGUUAAAGUUGGAAGUGGGGGAAAUUAAGAGCAUUAUUUCAUUAUUGUUUUGGUGACUUCAUUUUUGUUCUUCCACUCAUGGUUUAUGCAGCUACUCAGAAGUACAUUUCCCUGCUCUCCUUUCUCUCAAAGGUAGAAGAAACUAGUUGGGAGAUGAGGGUAGAGUUAGCAUCAUGUCUAGGAAUCUGCCUCCUUCAAGAGGAGGGUUAUUGUAAGGAAAUUACCUUUCUGAGUGUCAAUUUAUAUAGUAGCCACCCUUCCAGACCAGAAUCUGAACAAAAGCCCAUAUUUUUAGGUUACUCCCUUUAGGUCAUGCAUGAUAAAAGCAUAACUGAACAUGGAAAACCUUUUAUAAUUGAUUCUAGUUCUUGAUACUUGAAAUGAGGUAUAUAUACAUGAUUCCAAGUGAUCUAGUGCAUAGCUUGUGUGGGGCUUAGAGGAGGGGGAAGGAAGGAGAAGGGUGGUGUCUUUUCUAUAGGAUCUUAAUGGAACCAAAUGCUCUAUAGAAUACUAGUUUUUUCUUUUUCAUAAGGUUAUAAAGUUAGAUGCUGUUGCUGUGUAACAAAGUUAAUAAAGGUUAUAUUUUACUUAAUUUGUAGAGAUAAAGGUUUCAGCUUAGAAUCAACUAGAGAUAAGUCUGGUUAUUUAAAAUUUGGUAACUUAGCUGUAACCAUCUCUAAUUAGUCAUUUUUUUUAAGGCAGAAAGAAGAUAUGUUGGUAUCAGCUAGGCUCAUUAUAGGCUUCUAGGAAAAAUGUUAGAUCCAGAGUUUCAAACCAAAUCAAACUGAGUUGAAUUUUAUUCUCAUUUAGUACUUUCUAAGACAGAAUAACAUUAUGCUUAUUCUGUAAACAUUCCAAUUAAAGGUUUUAUUUUACUGAAUUGAAACUAAAACGCUAGACUGCUUUUUAAUAUUUAGCUGUCCUCCAUCAGCAUAAC